UACGUAGGGUGCAAGCGUUGUCCGGAAUUAUUGGGCGUAAAGAGCUCGUAGGCGGUCUGUCGCGUCUGGUGUGAAAACUCAGGGCUUAACCCUGAGCUUGCAUCGGGUACGGGCAGACUAGAGUGCGGUAGGGGAGACUGGAAUUCCUGGUGUAGCGGUGAAAUGCGUAGAUAUUGGGAAGAACACCUGAGGCGAAGGCGGGUUGCUGGGCUGAUACUGACGCUGAGGCGCGAAAGCCAGGGGAGCAAACGGG
rnacentral:rRNA from 1 species